GUCACUGCCCGCGAAAGUAUGGCCGUCAUUGCAUAGCACGGCGUACAGCCGACUGCACUUCGUGGCAUUUGUAGCCAUGUUGGUUGUGUACGUUGUUCGUUUAAAAUAGCAAGUACUGUGUAUUUUUGUCUUGAAUAAGUCAACAAUGCUGUGCUUUUAGCUGAACUUUCGAAGCCAAGAAGAGAGGGAAGCAGCAAGAAGAAGAAUAUGGCUGAUGAACUUCUGCAGAGCAAACUGGCAGAACACAAAAGCAACUGCAUUGUGUGGAGGCGCAACCGAGGCAGCUCCGCCGUCCCCUUCUCCGGCCGACACUCGGCUAACGGAGAGGCAGCGGCGCUGGCUGGCGGCUCUGGAGAGCAUCCACGACCAGCCGUGGGACGCAUUAGUCGGGAUCGUCGAGGACUUCGUCUGUGAGAUCACCGAGCUGAAGCCGCAACACCAGGCGGCCGGAGGUCUAUAGGACGGGUGACCAGCAGCAGCACACCAUGGCCAGGGCCACGCCAGCACUGCUGCCAAUCCCCCUGCACGCGGCCGCGGUAGGCGGCGCGGUGGACGUGGUGCUGUGUGCCGGAACGAUGCGAAUGCAACGUCUGAAAUUCAGAAACUGUACCGCAUGGACUGGCGCAGGGCGAUGCAGCGCGUCCUUGGUGAGACGUCGCCGUACUGCCAAAUUGAUGGCAACGCGCUCACGGAGCACUUCAGAAAAAUCUAUACUAAAACCGACUUUUGUGUUAGACAUGCACCAGCUGCUGUCCCGGACUUUGCCGCCACCACACCUCCUGAUGUCAGCAAGGAGGUCCUGAUGCUAAUCACUGCAACAGCGGCUCCAGAAGGCGAGCCGUACUGCUCCUGGGGCAGACGGAGUCAACUACUCCGGCUUGCGGCGUGAGGAACCUGGGUGCCAAGUGCUAGCUAAGAUCUCCUUGUACUGCUGGAAAGAGCGGAAGACUCGAGUGCAGUGGAAAGUAUCCAUUACCGUCCUCAUCCACAAUAAAGGUGACAUCUUGGACGUGACAAACUGGCGGCCUCUAGCUUUGAGCUCCACCAUCUCUAAGCUCUUUGCUGCAAUCGUUGUGGAUCGUACAACCCUCUGGGCAGAGCGUCUGAGCCUGCUCUCCCCAGAACAAAAGGGUUCAAAGGCUGCUCUGAGCACAACUUUAUUGUGCAGACGGCAACUGAUGAUGCAAGAUGCAGGGGAGGCCAAGCAUGCUUUGCUUGGCUUGAUCUAGCGAAUGCUUCCGGCUCAGUGCCUCACGCUCACCUCCUUGGAGUACUGAGCAGGAUGGGACUACCAGAGCAAUUGCAUCAUCUAAUUGUCGACGUGUACAAUGGUUGCUCCACCCGUGUCCGUACAUCUGACGGGCUAACGGAGGAGUUGGAGAUUCAGGCGGGGGUCAUGCAGGGCCGUCCACUGUCGCCCAUCGUCUUUAACCUCACGCUGGAGCCGGUACUUCGCGCCGCAAACGCUCUUAGAAAUGAGUGUGGUAUUCCACUUUGCAGCGUAAGUGUGAGUGCACUGGCGUAUGUGGACGAUAUCGUGCUUCUAGCACGGGACUCGGAGGCGAUGCAGACACUCCUCAAUGUUGUGGGUGAGGUGGCAACGUGGGCUGGGCUUACCUUCAAGCCAUCGAAGUGUGCCACGCUUCACAUCUGCCGUUGUGAGACAUUAUACUCGGUAUUUGCCCUACAAGUGGGAGAACCAGCCGUUCUCGGUGAGGGUGAUGCCUACCUCCGUCUCGGUGUCCCAUCGGGUACAAAGUCUCGCAGACGCCAGCGGAAGCGAUCGCGGCAAUUCGACUUGACUUGGAGCUCCUGGACGCUUCCCUGCUGGCUCCUUGGCAGAAGAUUGAUGCAGUGCGCCUCUUCCUCCUCCCCAGGCUUGACUUUGUCACGCGGGGCGGAGCGGUACGCAAGGGACCACUGUCUGCACUCGACAAGGCAGUUAAAGCGGCUGUUAAAUCCUGGCUCUUCCUUCCGCAGUGCGCCUCGACUGAACAACUGCACCUCGCACUGGGAGAGGGAGCAUGUGGCCUGACGCUGCUCGCGGAUGCCGCAGACCAUCUCCACCACCAUCCACGGCUUCCGCAUGUUCGACUGCGCAGACGCCACCGUCCGCGACAUCGCCUCGGCCACACUAUCUACGGCUGCGCGCCGCCAACUGGGGAGGGAGCCGAGUCGGUCCGACUUGGCCACUUACCUUAGCGGCAACAUCGAGAGUGACCUCACAAGAGACCGAGGUGACAUCCAGUCGCGUGGACACGUGUCGGGAACACCACAAGGUGCCUAGCGCCACGUGGUGUCACCCGAGUUGCAGGUGAAGGUCUGCAGUCGGCUCGCCAUCGCAGACGACGUGGAACAUGGUGGCAUCGGAGGGGUGACGCACCCGGCCACGGAUGGGGCGGAGCCUCGCGGCACGGCCGGCGGGGCGGAGCCUCGCAGCAAAUGUGGUGGAGCAGCACUGCACCGACGGACCUGCGGGACGGCUGCACGGCACCUCGAAGGUGGCGGUGAUGGACCGCAACACGAUGGUGACAGCGUGGGACACGCCACCAACACUGGCGUCGAGCAUGUCCGGGUGGGAGGGAGCGCCAAACGUCUUCUCUCGUGGACGCUCUGCGAGUGCCUGAGGCAGCACCUGUGCAACCUCCUACUCAGGAAACCUGACCAGGGGAAGGUGUCUGAGUGCACCGAGGAGUCCACAGCGUCCAACCACUUCGUGGCGGGAGGCAAGUACACACGCUUCGCAGACUGGCGGUUCGUCCAUCACGCCAGGCUCGGAGGUGUGCCUCUCAACGGCUGCCUCAGUUUUGAUGGGCGGGGGUGAACAACCACAAAGCGUGCCGACGCUGUGGCCACAACAACGAGACACUCCCACAAGUGAUCAACCCGUGUAUGGUGCACUCGGCAGCCCUACAAUAUCGCCACAACGCGGUCCUCAACCACCUCGGGCAGCCAAGAAGAGGAAACACUGCUAUUCCUGACUUCAGGAUGAACCAAAUUGUCUUGGGGGCUGCGUACGGAUCUCGUAGUAACCGACGAGGCCGCGAAGUCUGUGACCGUCGUCGAUGUGACAGUCCCCUUUGAGAAUAGGCGGAUUGCGCUCGACAACGCUCGGCAGCUAAAGAAGAUAAAAUAUGUCGACGUUGCACGGAUUAACCACUAGUGGUUAUUCUGUCACUGUCGAUGCCCUGGUUGUUGGCAGUCUGGGGGCGUGGGACUGCCAGAAUGAUGCUGUGUUUUGGCACUUAGGCAUCGCCUGCCGCUACUGUCGACUAAUGCGGCGGCUGACGGUAUCUGACUCCAUCGAGUGGUCGCACGACAUUUACGUGGAACACAUCACUGGCAACCACCAGUAUGUGUCCCCCUAGACUGUGACUUGCUUCGACGUCAGGCUGCGAGACCCUCGAGACUGCAGUCGUUGGAGAACUUCGAGGUCGGUGCCUUCGUGCCGGCGGUGUCGAGCUUUUUCUCCACGACGCGGGAACUGCAGCGGAACAUCUUCGCCCUGCACUGCAACAGUGCCGAGUCAAUAGCGGUGCUGCCUGGUGCCCCUCCCUCUGUGGUGUCCGCCGAAUACGGCCCCCACCUCGCUCGGCACGGCGCCAGACGUGUGCCUACUGCGAGGCAGUCUCCAGCCGUCGCGGGAAGCCACGCCCUCCUGCCGCGACACCCCAGUGACGUCUGCCGCAAGGCGGACAGAGGGGAGAAGCCCGGCUGUGUGCGACCCGCCUGUGUGUGUGGCGCACCAGCCGCUGGCAGCCGUGCGUGUGCAGUGUGCUGUCAGGGCAUGGAGAUGAAUGAAAUAAAAAAUAGUUCCUAAAUUAGUUCCAAACCUCCCCCGCCAGUCUGACAUAAUUGAGGCCGAGCUUAACGCGGGAUUAGUCUUAAGUCUGAUACACUUAACACUUUGGGUCCUGAGCCAUUGUGCAUGGUUGUCUACCAUAAAGCUUGGCUGAUUUUAACAUAUUUUGAACUACUACAACUCGUGAAAGCUUUCAGUUUAAGCAAUAAAAUUACUCUUAUUGAAAGACCUAGACUUUCUUGUUUAAAACCGUAUAUAAUACCUUUCUCUUGAAUUUGUAUAUACUUUUGACAAGUGUUACUAUUAUAACAUUGUUUUUGAAAAAAGGAAAAAUUGGUCAAAGGUAUAUUCACUGUAUUUUCUUGAAGGAAUUUUUUUUUAUUUUACACAAAAAUUGUUAUUAUGAUGGAUACAGCAUGUCUUAUCUACAGUAACUUCCUGUAGCUAUUUUAUGAUGCAAUUUUGCUCUUUGUGUGGUUAAUUUUGAAGCAUGGCAUUUUGCACAGUGCUACUUUACAUUCACUACCCUGGUAGCUUGUGUCUUUUCACCACACUUUUGCAGUCAGUUUUUUUUCCUCUCAGAGAACACACUACACACUGUGUAUGUUUCUGUUUCUUGCCUACUUCUGUCUCAAUCUUUCCCAGGAAAUGAUUUCCAGUUGAUAGUCUUGAGAGUCCAGAUGGACCAGGUCGGGGUUCAAGAUCUUUGCUUUGUGCAAGAUCUGCGCAGAUAAUUGUCAUGAAGUGAGAUGUUGUGAAGUGUUUGCAGUAACCUUAUCGUAUAAUAUGCAGGAAUUUGCAACCACUAUUAGUAUAACAUGGAAUGCCAACUUUCUCCACCACUUCACAGUUCGAUUUUAAAAAACGCCGUAUGACAAUCGCUGAUCUGAAAAGUCAACACCAAACUUGUUUUUACUGCAGUCCACUACACAGGCUGGCUUUGACUUCUCUCUUCCUCUCUGAUCAGUGAAAGUGACCAUCUCAGCAGUGUGCCUUGUACUUCUCAUAUGCACAUUUCUUUUGUCCUUCCAACACAGUGCUAACAUAUUUCCUUUACGCCUGAAAAUAAGUUCACCUUGCUGAAGAUUCGGAUCUUUUAUAGCACGAGGCAAUCCCUGCCGAGAUUUUCUCGUUGUUCCCACAGGAGCAGUUUUUGCAGCUUCCAGUUCUGAAGCAAGUAUUGGACUUGUGUAGAAUCUGUCCGUAAACAAAGUGUAGCCUUUUCCUGAAAGAUCUGCAAGCAAUGUUUUUACCAGAGUCACUGUGUCAGACCUUCCACCUGCGUAAACAGAGAAAUUCCAGAUGUAACCUGUGUCAGAUUCGGAUAACAUGUACAGUUUGAUACCGUAUUUAUUUGAUUUUUGUGGCAUGUACUGUUUGUCUGUGUAACCUCACAAUCUCCUUCCCCACGCUAGAGCAAACUUUCAAAUCUUAAUACACAUUUCGCACUGUUCGUGUGGCUUUAUACCAUUCAAUUGAUGCAGUUAAUGAUUUUGCUGUCAUCUACUGUGACAAAUUUCUGUGAGAAAUAAUUAAUCUCUCUGCUGGCCAGUGCCGCAAAGGAGUGCACGACGGAGAAAAACAGGUGCACGAAACUAUGGAAACGUGGCUGAACUGGUUGAGAUCCUGGCACACGGAACGGACGUCAACAGACAGUGUGAAAAUGGCUACACCCCACUUCACAAGACGGCGAAGUGUGGUGAUGCCUCGGCCAUAAACUGGCUGCCGGAGUCCGGUGCGGACGUCAGCGUGCGAAAUGACUGGCGGCAGACUCCCCUCCACGUAGCGGCAGCAUGCGGCAAAUGUGGUACCAUGAGGGUCCUGCUGUUUCACGGUGCGGACAAGGACGCGUGGGACGGCUGUGGGCGGACAGCUUUGCAGGUUGCCGCCACAUGUUUUACAGAUUGCUACUGCAUGUGGUGAAGUGGUCUCAUGACCUGCUGUGGCGCUUGGGCUCGGACCGGUCUGCUGCCGGCUACGGUAAGACACCUCUUGAGCUCACCCUGAUGUACAACAGGAGGGCAGUUGUAGGUAUAAUGACAAGGAGACGGCAUGACUGUGGGGUCGGGGAUUUGUCCGAAAUUGUGUGUGGUGAAAGAGGACCCCUAACACCUCACGU